UGGAGACUUGAAGGGUGCCCAGGACGCAGCCGGGACAGUCUGUCUCCAGCCGACCAAAUGAUGACAGCACCACAGGUGAAGGCGUCAGGCAGCCAACAACGGCUGACUCGCAGACCCUGACACUUUUUGGACACCGCCUUGAAGAUUUUGAUGGCAGACACUUGAUUUUGUCUCUUGUUAAAAGUUUGAUACACAAAAAUGGUCACGAUGAUAAGAAUGAAAAAAAUGUUCUGCAAUUGUGUCAUCCCAGAUAGCAGACA